CUGUGGGGGCAGUGCCGAGGACACCAUGGUAACAGGGACAGCCCCAGCCUGGCGUCCUGGGUCUGCCAGUCCAGGGAAAAGACAGAGACAGCGAGGAGAGUAGCCAGCCCAGAAAGUGGAGAAAGUGCCUGCGGCCCAAGGCAUCGUUCCUGCCUCCCGCUCCUUAUGCCUUUGGGGAGCCGGGCCCCGAAGGAGGCCACCAGAGCUGCCUGUGGUUUCCGGUGCUCCUGGUGGACCACUCCAUGCAGGGACUGUUCCAGUGGUCUCCCAGUAUGCUGCCCCUGCUGCUGAGCCCCAUCCGGGAGGGGUCUGGGCUGUAUUUAAACACUGUUCCAUGUCCACUCAGGAUGAUUCUGACAAAGUCAUCAGCAGCAAGCUUGAUCAAGUGGAUGACUCUUCUGGCAGCCAUGUCAUCAAGGAUGACACCAAGCCCCACGUUCGAAUACGCAUCAGGAGAGGAAACAAGUUUCAGGCCGAGAUCCCGGAGCUCCAGGAGCGCCCUA